ensembl:lncRNA
UAAAUACGUCAGAAUAUUAAUAUCGAGUAUCUGUUUGUAGGGAAACAGCUGGCAACUUUUGAGACCGAGUUAGCAUGAGAGACUUUAUGUCUAAACCACCCCCCACCCUCUGCUUAUUCUCGCCGUGCGCUUUGGAGAAACGCUUAGACCUGCACGUAGGCAAGCUAAUGAGUAACCAGUCAGCAACCAGUAGAGAGAAUGACUUGUUAGCAGAAGAUUUCAGGCCUCUGCCCAAACUCUUGCUUCUCUCCCUCAGAAGAAAACAACUAUGUUUUCUUAGAUUCCUCAGGAAUGUCACAUUCAGCAGAUCCAAAACUUUUGUCUACAGAGAGGCGCCCGGCGGUCUGCGGUCAUCCAAUACCUGGCACUCCUGAGUUCCCUCCCCGACCCCGUUGGCCUUAUAUAACUCAUUUCCAAAUCAGUUCCCCUCGCAGAUGGUUUUUUAGCAUAGUCCACCAUCUUUCAGUUAGCUAGCUCAUUGCUUAAGUGAAAUUUUCUCUCUCCACCGCCUUGCCUCUUGACAGAUUGGCUUUUGUCUUGCGGAGAGCAGGUUUCUUCCCUGGAGCCUCCAUGUCGACCAGGAUCUUGACCUGAAGGAAGAGGAUUCUGUACCUCUCCUAUCUCUGAACAGACAUAAUUGCCUUUUUUAAAAAAUGGCGUUUUUAAAUAGCAUGAAAAAAAUGGCAAUACCUCGACAAGGUCAAGUGACCCUAGGGACAGCCACAAGUUGGUGACACAAGAGUGUUGGUGGGCCUGGCGUAAGGAAGGGACUUUCAGCCAAAGCAAGGAGGGCGUGUGCUGCAUCAGAGCAGAGAGAAGCAGAACCAUGAUGGGGCAGGAGGGGAAUGGCACAGAACAGUAUCAGUGUAGAAGCAGUGGCCUGAGGCUCUGAAGACAGCACAGCAGCACUCAAUGGGCCACCGUGCGCAGAGCCCCUGCUGUAAUAAAAAUAAUGGCUACUGUUUACUGACGUCUUCCUAGUGCCCAUCCUUGUGUUUUUUCCUGUCUGAAUUCCUCACCACCCUCUUUGAGUGAAGAAGUUAAAUCCUCUUUGCAGACAGGAGGAGACUAUGCCUCAGAAAGGCUAAGUGAUUUUUCCAGAGUCACAGAGAUGGUUAGUUGCAGCACUGGGAUUUUCAAGAAGGUGCGCCAGCUUCGUGGGCCCAGGAUCCUGUGCAGUCACCAGGUCUAACGCUCUGCAGUCGCCAUCUUGAAAUCUUUAAUGAUUUUUGAACAAGGUUGCCUUGCACUGGGUCCCACAAAUGAUGCUGCUGGUCCUGUCUGGCUGGCAGGUAGGCCUUCAAUAAUACCUGCAUCCAUUAGCCACAAUGCAUGAAGACGGACAGGAAUGGUAAAUAACUCACCAAGGGGAGAAAAUCAAACCUAAUGAAUGAGAUACACUAAUGAAAAACAAACCAAUAUGCCCCAUAGAAUCACAGGAAUGCUCAGAAUUGGGGGAAUCAGGAACUUAAGAAGAAUGGUUUUGGGGCUUUGCCAUAUUUAGCGAAUAAAAAUAGAGGAUGACCAGUGAAAUUUGAAUUUCAGUUAAUCAGAGAAACUGUGUUUAGAUAAAAAAUGAAUAAUUUUUUUUUUUAGCAUUUGGGACAUACUUAUACUAUAAAGUUACUUGGUGGUUUAUCUGAAAUUCAAAUCUAACUGAGUGUCCGUGUUUUAUCUGGCAAAGGUAUUUAGAACAGUAUUUGAAUGUCUAUAAGGAGUAAGCAGACCUAUAGGUUCUGCUCUGAUAGGGCUCAGGCUGUUGAUUGGGGCAGAAGAUAAUUUCGGGCCUAUGGGUGCCUACCUUAGUCUCCCACGUAUGCCAGGGCAGUUAGGAGGAGCCGAGACAUUUUCAGUGGGGCCACACCCUCCAGUGAAAGUCUAAGUGCCAAGGCCUGGCAAUGGCCCUCAGAGUCACAUAGACUCCAGAGACCAUGAAGUCCUGUGACUUCCUCUUCAUUAUGGUCCUUCU